rnacentral:rRNA from 1 species
UCUGAUCAUGGCUCAGAACGAACGCUGGCGGCAGGCUUAACACAUGCAAGUCGAGCGCUUAUUUUUAAUAGGAGCGGCAGACGGGUGAGUAACGCGUGGGAAUCUACCUUUUUCUACGGGAUAACGCACGGAAACGUGUGCUAAUACCGUAUACGCCCUGAGAAGGGGAAAGAUUUAUUGGAGAGAGAUGAGCCCGCGUUAGAUUAGCUAGUUGGUGGGGUAAAUGCCUACCAAGGCUACGAUCUAUAGCUGGUCUGAGAGGACGAUCAGCCACACUGGGACUGAGACACGGCCCAGACUCCUACGGGAGGCAGCAGUGGGGAAUAUUGGACAAUGGGGGCAACCCUGAUCCAGCCAUGCCGCGUGAGUGAAGAAGGCCUUAGGGUUGUAAAGCUCUUUCGCC